rnacentral:rRNA from 1 species
UUUCCGUAGGUGAACCUGCGGAAGGAUCAUUGUCGAAACGUCGAGAGAACGAGCGAACCGGUCAUCGGAUCCUAGCGGGGAUCGUGGGGGUGUGCACACGCCUCUCCCACCUCCGUGCGUGUCUCUCAUCCACCCUACGCGUGCGUAGUGUGGGUUGGGAUGCGCGAUUCUCAACAAACCCUCGACGCGGGCCGCGUCAAGGAUUGUCUUUACCAGAACUACAGGGCGUGACAUCGCGUGCGUUGCUCCAUGUCCCUGUCGUAACAAUAUAAUGAUGACUCUCGGCAACGGAUAUCUUGGCUCUCGCAUCGAUGAAGAACGUAGCGAAAUGCGAUACUUGGUGUGAAUUGCAGAAUCCCGUGAACCAUCGAGUCUUUGAACGCAAGUUGCGCCCGGAGCCGUCAGGCCGAGGGCACGCCUGCCUGGGCGUCGCACGUACCAUCGCCCCCACCCUCAUCUAUCGUGGAUGCGCGGCUUGGGGAGUUGGAUGCUGGCCAUCCGUGUGGCGGAAUCACGGUUGGCUUGAUGUUCGCAUGGCGGCGCGCGUCCGGUCACGACGGGUGGUGAUCGUUCCGAAGAUUCCUGUGUACGUUGUGAUUGCGCGCGAUCGUUCCUUCCGAUCGCCCCGGCGGAGUAAGGGCACGCUCUCGUGCCCGCACUCCAAUUGUACGGACCCCAGGUCAGGCGAGGCACCCGUGAUUUAA